AUUUAAAAUUUUAAUAUGUACUUUUUGCAACCCAGAACUCAUUGUUCAGUAUGGGUUUUGAUACAUAUAAGAAGGGAUAUU
ensembl:snoRNA